UUUAUAAGGGAAUAAAGUGCGGGACGUGUCCCGUUUUGUAUGUACCUUAUGAAUAAGGAUCGGCUAACUCCGUGCCAGCAGCCGCGGUAAUACGGAGGAUCCGAGCGUUAUCCGGAUUUAUUGGGUUUAAAGGGUGCGUAGGCGGCCUUUUAAGUCAGCGGUGAAAGUCUGUGGCUCAACCAUAGAAUUGCCGUUGAAACUGGGAGGCUUGAGUAUGUUUGAGGCAGGCGGAAUGCGUGGUGUAGCGGUGAAAUGCUUAGAUAUCACGCAGAACCCCGAUUGCGAAGGCAGCCUGCCAAGCCAUGACUGACGCUGAUGCACGAAAGCGUGGGGAUCAAACAGGAUUAGAUACCCUGGUAGUCCACGCAGU
rnacentral:rRNA from 1 species